rnacentral:rRNA from 1 species
CCUACGGGCGGCUGCAGUGAGGGAUAUUGGGCAAUGGGGGAAACCCUGACCCAGCGACGCCGCGUGAGGGAAGACGGUCUUCGGAUUGUAAACCUCUGUCUUUGGGGACGAAAAAGGACGGUACCCAAGGAGGAAGCUCCGGCUAACUACGUGCCAGCAGCCGCGGUAAUACGUAGGGAGCGAGCGUUGUCCGGAAUUACUGGGUGUAAAGGGAGCGUAGGCGGGAAGGCAAGUUGGAUGUGAAAACUGUGGGCUUAACCGACAGACUGCAUUCAAAACUGUUUUUCUUGAGUGAAGUAGAGGCAAGCGGAAUUCCUAGUGUAGCGGUGAAAUGCGUAGAUAUUAGGAGGAACACCAGUGGCGAAGGCGGCUUGCUGGGCUUUUACUGACGCUGAGGCUCGAAAGUGUGGGGAGCAAACAGGCUUAGAUACCCCUGUAGUC